AGUUGUACUUUUGCAGGUUGGAGUUAACAUAUAUAGUGGACCUUCAACAGAAUCAAUGGGACGUUAAUUUUUUAAAUGGCUAUGAGAUGCAAUUAAUAUUCCACUGCACGUUUUCCACACUGUUCAUUUCUAAAUCAAAUAUGUAGGCAUUUGUUACCUCUGAUGAUUUCCUCACAAAUAUAACACUUUUUUAGUAAGAAUCUUUCCACUUAGAGCCCUAGAAUUAUAGUGCUACUUUAAUUCUUCUGCAUUGACUUUUUCUUUCAUGCUGUCAGCUUUGAAUAACAAUCACAGUAAUGGCAGAGAACAGGGGAAGAGAUCAGGUCAUUAACAAAGAAUGGUAGACAAGUCAAGUCUGUACUGGCUUACCACUGAGCCCAUGCAAAGGAGGAGAAAUACCUCAGUUAAAAAUUUUCCAUCAAAAUCUUUAAGAGUAUACUGAAGAAAAGACAGUCAUAGCACUUCCAGCAACUUCUAAAGGCUACAUGUUUAAUACUUCAUGUAAAAAUUACUCCAAAUUUGCACUAAAUACCAAUGAAGUGUUAUUUUUCUUUAGUUGUGUUGCAGUCUUUUCUGAUCAACAAACUAUGGGGGAAAUUCUGUAAAGCAUAUAAGAAUUCAAGACUUUUAAAAGAAAUGAAUGAUUGCUAGUUAAAUACACAAGCUUUUUUUUUUUUAACAAAUAUACACUUCUGGCAAGGUUAUAGAUGAUUAACCUCUGUUCAUAAGACUUAAAUAUACAAAACUAGAGGUUUUUUGUUUACUUUUUUUUCAAGUGCAAUUGUUUCUUAUACAUGUUACUAUUAAAUUAUCAUUUUAGCCAGUUAUUAGCAAAUUGUAGUAUGUAUUGUCUCUUCUUGUGACAUUUAGUUUUAAUUGCUUAUUUUAAAGCAGAAACAUUAGAAUUACAAGUGUCUUGCAAUAUUUUUAUCAACAAUAAAAUGUAGUAGACUUAACAAUGAAAAUACCUUAGUGUGAUUUUAAUAUUAUUUUGAGAUUUUGGUUGUAUAAAGUUUUAAUGUAAAAUGUCCAUUAUUGAAGGAAAAAGACCUUUCAAUAAAAAAUACCC
rnacentral:lncRNA from 1 species